AUAAGCCUGAAAUUGAACAAGUAUACCCGUUGAA
rnacentral:rRNA from 1 species